AACGAACGCUGGCGGCAUGCCUAACACAUGCAAGUCGAACGAGAACUUCGGGUCUAGUGGCGCACGGGUGCGUAACGCGUGGGAACCUGCCCUUAGGUUCGGAAUAAUUCACCGAAAGUUGGACUAAUACCGGAUAAUGCCUUCGGAGCAAAGAUUUAUCGCCGUUGGAUGGGCCCGCGUUUGAUUAGCUAGUUGGUAGGGUAAAAGCUCACCAAGGCGACGAUCAAUAGCUGGUCUGAGAGGAUGAUCAGCCACAUUGGGACUGAGACACGGCCCAGACUCCUACGGGAGGCAGCAGUGGGGAAUAUUGGACAAUGGGCGCAAGCCUGAUCCAGCCAUGCCGCGUGAGUGAUGAAGGCCUUAGGGUUGUAAAGCUCUUUUACCCGGGAUGAUAAUGACAGUACCGGGAGAAUAAGCUCCGGCUAACUCCGUG
rnacentral:rRNA from 1 species